rnacentral:rRNA from 1 species
AAUAUUGGACAAUGGGGGCAACCCUGAUCCAGCCAUGCCGCGUGUGUGAAGAAGGUCUUCGGAUUGUAAAGCACUUUAAGUUGGGAGGAAGGGCUUUAGGCUAAUACCCUGAAGUUUUGACUUUACCAACAGACUAAGCACCGUCUACCUCUUUGCCAGCAGCCGCUGUAAUACCGCGGGUGCAAGCUUUAAUCGGAAUUCCUGGGCGUAAAGCGCGCGUAGGUGGUUCAGUAAGAUGGGUGUGAAAUCCCCGGGGUUAACCUGGGAACUGCUUUCAUAACUGCUGAGCUAGAGUACGGUAGAGGGUAGUGGAAUUUCCUGUGUAGCGGUGAAAUGCGUAGAUAUAGGAAGGAACACCAGUGGCGAAGGCGACUACCUGGACUGAUACUGACACUGAGGUGCGAAAGCGUGGGGAGCAAACA